UACGUAGGUGGCAAGCGUUGUCCGGAUUUACUGGGCGUAAAGAGCGCGCAGGCGGUCGUUCAAGUCGCGUGUGAAAGCCCCCGGCUCAACUGGGGAGGGUCACGCGAUACUGAUCGACUGGAAGGCAGGAGAGGGUAGUGGAAUUCCCGGUGUAGUGGUGAAAUGCGUAGAUAUUGCUCGGAAGGCCAACGGCGAAGGCAGGUUACUGGUACGCAACUGACGCUGAGGCACGAAAGCGUGGGGAGCAAACAGG
rnacentral:rRNA from 1 species